UCAGAUAAUCCAUUUUAUUUUCUCCCUUCCUAACAAAAGUUUUAAGGUAAUUUCAAAUAGAUCUUUAGAAUGAUUAUUUGUCAUGAUCAUUGGCACAAAAGAAGCAAGACCAAGGACAAUCAACCUCCUCUUCUAUUUUUUCUGAAAUUAAUAUUCUUAAAUCCAGGCAUAACAGUGGCUCUCAUAAUCUCAGUGUGAGCAGGCAGACACGGGAGAAUGCCUAAAGCUCACUAGCCAGUCAGUCUAGCUAAACUGGCAAGCUCCAGGUUAAAUAAGAGAAGUUUUCUCAAUAAAAAGUAAGGUGGGGAGUGACCGAUGAAGAUGCUUAGUGUCAAGCUCUGACCUCCACAUGCAAAUGCACACACACACACACACACACACACACACACACACACACAAAUAAAAUAUUAGAACAGAACAAAAUAAGUUAAUGUAGUGUCUAUCACUGCUCCUCAGACAUAUUGUACAUAGGGCAAUUUCCUGUUGCUCUAUAGAACUUUGUCCAUCAGAAAUGUCAAUAACUUUCAUCCAAUAAGAACAACCCCCAAAGCCAGUGCUUGCUGGCACAAACUCGGUCUUAUAUGCAAUAAAUUGCUGAGAAGCACCCUGGCUUCUUAAAUGCUCUUUGAAAUGAUCUUAAACUCGUUAGCUCAAGAACGCAGUGAAACACUCUACAGGUAUCCAUUUUAUAUUUUACUAACAGUCACAAUAUUUUCCUUUCCAAAAUUAUACUUUGGCAUAACUUAACUCACUUCGCCUGUGGUCUUUUAUUUGCCAUAUGUAGACAUACACUUUGCUGAGUUGUAAAGAUUAAGAGUCAAGGUGUGUGAAACACUUCACGCAGAACCAUAAGGCUGUGUGUGUGCAGUUAAGUGGGUGUCUCGCACUUGAAACUAGGGCUGUGAUUGAUCAGUCCACCACGGGUAGGCUUCAGCUCCUUCCUACUCGCCUGUAUAAAACAGACUUCGCAAACUUUGCCGGCAAUGACUUUUCAGCUGCUUCAAUCACAUUCUUUAAAAUCCUUCCUGACCUGACUCCAUUCUAAUUAUAUAUCUCCUACCUCAUGGAAACAGUGUGCAGUGGGAACUACAUGUCAGAGUCCAAGCGAGGUGACCUUUGCCACUGGAAGCUUUCCAGGGCUUGUCUCCAGUAGGCCGCAGCAAACAUAAGCUUUUAAACACCUCCAGUACUAUCAGUCACAGGUAUGAUUGAGAGAGUGUGCCUGUGGGUGGAUUUUACAAGAAGAUCUAUCAGCUAAGUGUGCCGGCUCAGAUCAGAAUGUUCUGACUUCUAACAGCUUUUGCCUCUACCAGCGGAUAGCAAAUUCCUCAGAGAGCAAGGACUCUUCCUCCCUUACCUUUAUUUGAAAUAUAUCACUUAUUCUUUGAGAAUUUCAUACACGUGUACAAUAUAUUUUGAUUAUAUUCACCUCCCCCACUCCAACUUUUCCUAGUUCCCUCUUCCCAGAGUCCUCUCCAAACUCCUGAAUCUAAUUAGUGCUGCCCACACGUGUAUGGGUGGAGGGCCAUUGGCUGGAGCACAGUCACCCUAAAGAAACCUGAUUCUGGGGACUGAGGAGAUGGUUCAAUGGUUAAAGUGCUUGUAAGCAUGAGGACUGGAAUUGGGGUCACUAGACUGGAAUUGGGGUCACUAGAACAAUGAUGACUGUGCUUCAAGGCCCUCCUGUAAUAACAGCUUCAGAGAAGAGAAGCAGGUGACUCCCAGAGCAAACUGAUCAGAGAAACCAACCAGAUUAGUGGGCCCUGGGUUUGAGUGAGAAACCCUGAUUCAGUGAAUAAAAUGAAGAGCAAUCUAGGAUGCUAUUACCCCUAUUAUCAAUCUUGGGGCUCAACAUAUACAUAUAUUUAUAUUUACGUUUAUACAAACACACAUGCACCAGCCCAUGCAUAUGCCCCACACACACAAAUGUGCAUACACGUAAGGCACACGUGGAAAAAAGAAUAUUGACUAUCCCCAACCAGUUAUCAGCUAUCAAUAUCUCUUCAAUGAGGGGCGGUACUCAUCUUCCAUUAUCUUUAUAUCACCAAGUAUCCAAAUCGGCAAUGUUUUCCAAAAAGCAGCAGCCAACAGAGGGUUUCUCCAAGCGAGUGUUCUAGGCUAUGGAGCAGUGCAAAGUAUCUUAGUCCAUUGCUAAGAUCAGCCACCAGGAGCAACAGUGAAUGCUAAGGUUGAAACCAAAUAAGAAGUCCAAAUAAACCAGGCAGUUGUGGCUCAUGACUUAAUCCCAGCACUCAGGACGGAGA